rnacentral:rRNA from 1 species
GGGUCUGUCCAUUGGUCGGGCUUCACGGUCCGUACUGGUGUGAUGGGUUCCUACCUUCUGAAUAACCAGCAUGCCAUUUAGUUGGUGCGCCGGGGAAGCAGAGCUAUUACCUUGAGAAAAUUAGAGUGUUCAAAGCGGGGCCUUGCCCGAAUACAUUAGCAUGGAAUAAUGGAAUAGGACGUGCGGUUCUAUUUCGUUGGUUUCUAGAGUCGCCGUA